GCGCCCAUGUCCCCGCUGCCCCCCACGCCGCUGUUCGCGGCGGAGCGCGCUGCGGUGCUGGUGUCCUGCGCUCUGUCCUGCUCGGGCUCGGCGCUGCUGCUCUGCUCCCACGCGCGCUGGCCGGAGCUGCGGACGCGCCCGCGGCAGCUGCUGCUCUACCUGUCCCUGGCCGACCUGCUCUCGGCCCUCUCCUACUUCUACGGGGUGCUGCGGGACUUCCAGCGCUCCUCGUGGGACUGCGUGCUGCAGGGAGCCGUGUCCACCUUCGCCAACACCAGCUCCUUCUUCUGGACCAUGGCCAUCGCCCUCUACCUGUACCUGAGCAUCGUCCGGGGCUCGCCCGCGGGCUCGGGCUGGCUCUGGGGCUUCCACGCCGUCAGCUGGGGUGUCCCCCUGGCCAUCACGGUGGCCGCCGUGGCUCUGAGGAAGAUCGGCUACGACGCCUCCAACGUCUCCGUGGGCUGGUGCUGGGUGGACCUGGAGGCCGAGGACCGGCUGCUGUGGAUGCUGCUGACAGGGAAGCUCUGGGAGAUCCUGGCCUAUGUCACCCUGCCCCUGCUCUACAUCCUCAUCAAGAAGCACAUUAACAGAGCACACGCUGCUCUCUCUGAGUACCGCCCCAUCCUGCCUGGAGCCCCCGCCCUGCAGCCCCGCGCCAGCAUCGCCGACAAGAAGCUCAUCCUCAUCCCCAUCAUCUUCAUCUUCCUCCGCAUCUGGAGCACCGUGCGCUUCAUCCUCACCCUCUGCAACUCCCCCGCCGUGCAGAACUCCGUCCUGGUUGUGCUGCACGGAAUUGGGAACACGUUCCAAGGAGGAGCCAACUGCAUCAUGUUCGUGCUGUGCACACGGGUGGUGAGGGCCAGGCUGCUGGCCCUGCUCUGCUGCGGCCACUGUGCCCAGCUGGGCUGGCCCCUGCAGGGCUCCCGGGGCUCCUGGCAGCAGCCGCAGCCCCACCAGGACAAGGACAAGGACAAGGACAAGGACAAGGAGAAGGAGGUGCCGAGCCCCGAGCAGAGCAAGCUGCUGUCCAGCACCUGAGCUGCCCCUGCUGCUGCUGAUCCCUGCUCGCACGGCUUUUAAAAACUUCUGAGAGCUAAAUAGCAACCUUGAUAGCUCAACCUCUUGUGAAUCCCAAAAGGCUUGGAAAGAGGAGCUGUGUUAAACUUCUUGCAGAAAGGUGUGGGGUGGUGCCACAGUCCCACAGAGGGAGCUGCAGCCCGGGGAAAGCGGCGCUGGAGCGGCUGAGCCUGGACAGGUCCCGUUCCUCACUCCCACAUUGCAGCCUCUGCUCCUCAGCUGGCUCAGGAUCCUCUGGAACAGACUCUGCUCACUUUGUGUUCAGUUGUGCUCCAGUUUCUCUCCCCUCCUUCCCCUCACCCUGCCCUGUAAACCUGAAAACUUGUUUGGGGUUUUGCUUUUCUGCCUGCUGAGGCCAGCGCCAGGUGAGCUGUGA